ensembl:lncRNA
CUUGCCCUUAGGGAGCCCAGAGUAAAUAGGCAAGAUUUACAGCCAGAGUGCUUCACAGCAGACUAGACAUGUUAAAAACAUACACGUUCCAGGAUCUACCCAGCACAGCUGAAAAAUAUGACCUGGAAGAAAUCCUGAGAUGCAGGAAGUUGGAAUUUGUCCACCUGAUCUUUGCAGUCUCAUCUCCCUGUGAGAGUUAAGGGGACUGGAAUGCAAAAGUAGGAAGUCAAGAAAUACCUGGAGUAACAGGCAAAUUUGGCCUUGGAAUGCAGAAUGAAUCAGGGCAAAGACUAAUAGAGUUUUGCCAAGAGACUGCACUGGUCUUAGCAAACACCCUCUUCCAACAACACAAGAGAAGACUCUACAUAUGGACAUCACCAGAUGGUCAACACCAAAAUCAGAUUGAUUAUAUUCUUUGCAGCCAAAGAUGGAGAAGCUCUAUACAGUCAGCAAAAACAAGACGGGGAACUGACUGUGGCUCAGAUCAUGAACUCCUUAAUUGUCAAAUUCAGACUUUAAUUGAAGAAAGUAGAGAAAACCACUAGACCAUUCAGGUAUGACCUAAAUCAAAUCCCUUAUGAUGAUACAGUAGAAGUGACAAAUAGAUUCAAGGGAUUAGAUCUGAUAGACAGAGUGCCUGAAGAACUAUGGACAGAGGUUCGUGACAUUGUACAGGAAGCUGUGAUCAAGACCAUCCCUAAGAAAAAGAAGUGCAAAAAGGCAAAAUGGUUGUCUGAGGAGGCCUUACAAAUAGCUGUGAAAAAAAGAGAAGCUAAAGGCAAAGGAGAAAAGGAAAGAUAUACCCAUUUGAAUGCAGAGUUCCAAAGAACAGCAAGGAGAGUUAAGAAAGCCUUUCUCAGUGAUCAACGCAAAGAAAUAGAGAAAAACAAUAGAAUGGGAAAGACUAGAGAUCUCUUCAAGAAAAUUAGAGAUACCAAGGGAACACUUCACGCAAAGAUGGGCACAAUAAAGGACAGAAAUGGCAUGGACCUUACAGAAAGAGAAGAUAUUAAGAAGAGGUAGCAAGAAUACACAGAAGAGCUAUACAAAAAGAUCUUCAUUACCCAGAUAAUCAUGAUGGUGUGAUCACUCACCUAGAGCCAGACAUCCUGGAAUGUGAAGUCAAGUGGGCCUUAGAAAGCAUCACUAUGAACAAAGCUAGUGGAGGUGAUGGAAUCCCAGUUGAGCUAUUUCAAAUCCUAAAAUAUCAUGCUGUGAAAGUGCUGCACUCAAUAUGCCAGCAAAUUUGGAAAACUCAGCAGUGGCCACAGGACUGGAAAAGGUCAGUUUUCAUUCCAGUCCCAAAGAAAGGCAAUGCCAAAGAAUGCUCAAGCUACCACACAAUUGCACCGAUUUCACACGCUAGCAAAGUAAUGCUCAAAAUUCUCCAAGCGAGGCUUCAACAAUACAUGAACCGUGAACUUCCAGAUGUUCAAGCUGGAUUUAGAAGAGGCAGAGGAAUCAGAGAUCAAAUUGUUAACAUCCACUGGAUCAUCAAAAAAGCAAAAGAGUUCCAGAAAAACAUCUAUUUCUGCUUUAUUGACUAUGCCAAAGCCUUUGACUGUGUGAACCACAACAAACUGUGGAAAAUUCUUCAAGAGAUGGGAAUACCAGACCACUUGACCUCCUGCAGAGAAAUUGAUAUCCAGAUCAAGAAGCAACAGUUAGAACUGGACAUGAACAACAGACUGGUUCCAAAUCAGGAAACGAGUACAUCAAGGCUAUAUAUUGUCACCCUGCAUAUUUAACUUAUUUGCAGAGUACAUCAUGAGAAAUGCUGGGCUGGAGGAAGCACAAGCUGGAAUCAAGAUUGCUGGGAGAAAUAUCAAUAACUUCAGAUAUGCAGAUGACACCACACUUAUGGCAGAAAGCGAAGAAGAACUAAAGAGCUUCUUGAUGAAAGUGAAAGAGGAGAGUGAAAGUGUUGGCUUAAAGCUUAACAUUCAGAAAACUAAGAUCAUGGCAUCUGGUCCCAUCACUUCAUGGCAAAUAGAUGGGGAAGCAAUGGAAACAGUGACAGGCUAUUUUUUGGGGCUCCAAAAUCACUGCAGAUGGUGACUGCAGCCAUGAAAUUAAAAGACGCUUGUUCCUUGGCAGAAAAGUUAUGACCAAUCUAGACAGCAUAUUAAAAAGCAGAGACAUUACUUUGCCAACAAAGGUCCAUCUAGUUAAAGCUAUGGUUUUUCCAGUCGUUGAGUACGAAUAUGAGUUGGACUGUGAAGAAAGCUGAGCGCCAAAGAAUUGAUGCUUUUGAACUGUGAUGUUGGAGAAGACUCUUGAGAGUCCCUUGGACUGCAAGGAGAUCAAACAGUUCAUCCUAAAGGAAAUAGUCCUGAAUAUUUGUUGGAAGGACUGAUGCUGAAGCUGAAGCUCCAAUACUCAGGCCACCUGAUGCGAAGAACUGACUCAUUUGAAAAGACCCUAAUGCUGGGAAAGAUUGAAGGCAGGAGAAAAGGGGAUGACAGAGGAUGAGAUGGUUGGAUGGCAUCAUGGACUCAGUGGACAUGAGUCUGAGUAAGCUCUGGGAGUUGGUGAUGGACAGGGAAGCCUGGUGUGUGGCAGUCCAUGGGGUCGCAAAGAGUCGAACUGGACUGAGCAACUGACCUGAACUCAACUGACUAGAAACCUACUGGGUUAUUAAGGGCAAUUAAAAUGUGAAUAGAGCUUUUUAAAAAAAUAAAUAAAAUAUCAAUCUCAUUUCAGAAGUACAUCAGAAUUUCUUUGGCUGCUCUGGGUCUUAGUUGCAGUAUGCACAAUCUUUAGUUGUGGCAUAUGGGAUCUAGUUCCCUGACCAGGGCUGGAACUGGCCCUACUGCAUUGGUAGCAUGGAAUCUUAGCCAGGGAAGUCCCAGGAGAACAUAAGAAUUUCACUUUUGCACCUCUCUCUUGCCCACUUGAGUUUUAGCCCCUAAGAAAGAUGGCAUGCCUGACACUAGGGUUUUAUGCCUUGACUAAUCUGUUUUAAGCCUACCAUGCAUUUCAAGCCUAGAAAGCUAAAACUCUGUAUGUCCCCACACACAUUAAGUCUCAUUUCAGUAGGACUCCUUUCAUUGAAUCCCUCCAUAGCCAUCCCCCUUCUCCCUCUUGUCUGCUCUUCUCUGACUAAAUCAACUCCUUUGUCCUCUGGGCUCUCACUUGAAAAAGAAUACCCUCUUUCACAGGACUUGUUACCUGGUAUUGUUAUUUCUUCUUGGUUUUGCUUUAACACCCUCAGGCCAGUGUACAGAGGACUUGCAACAGUUGGUUGUGUUUUUUGUAUCUGUCUCCAUUCCUAGACCAUGAAUCCCCAGAGGAGAACUCAUCCUGUGCACCCCUCUGUCACCACCACCGCUGACACAUAUGCAUCGCUCUGUGGUCACAUCAUCUUAUAAAGGAUUAAUGAAUGAAUUUGUGAGUGUCUGGGGAAAAUAUUCUCUAACAUUAAUCACCCCCAAUAGGCUGACUCUAUCUGGACCAGUCUAUGGCUGAUCACUGCUUUCAGUCCCCAAAGAAUAAAGUGAUCUGCUCCAGACUUCCGCAGGCCACUUUCUAAGCCCUGCUGCUGUGCUCAGGGAAGGUAAUAUGAAUGGCCCUGUUUUAGGUUGCCAGGGCUACCAUAACAAAGACCACCAACUGGGUGGCUUAAAUGAUAGAUAUUUAUGUUCCUGCAGUUCUGGAGGCUGAAAGUCUCAGAACAAGGUGUGGGCAGGUUUUGCUUCUCCUGGGAACUCUUCUUGGCUUGCGGGUGGUUGUCCCCUCACAGCUCUCUUGUGGCCUUUUCUCCUUCUGUGCAUCCCUAGUGUCACCACCUCAUCUCAGGACACCGGUUGUAUUGGAUUGGGGCCCCACCCUGAAGGCCUCAUGUUAACUCAAUCAUCUCUUUGUAGGUCCUAUUUCUUUCUGGAAUGGGGGUUGGGACUUGAACAUGUGACUCUUGGGGAACACAAUUCAGUCCUUACCAGGCUCUAGCACAGGUUCUCUAGUUUACUACCAACAGGUCCCACUGCCAAAUAAACAGAGAGAGAGCUAUAGUCUUUGGAAGCAGUCUGAGGCCUGUUGAGGGAACUUCUGGGGGGCUCACAAUUCAUGUGCUGAGAUUCACUAAUACAGAGGCCCAGGAACCUUAUGGGGUGGGGGGCAGUG